ensembl:miRNA predicted gene, 27428
GCCACUUGGUUCUAUGUCACAUAUUCUAAUCAUAUGGUUUUGUGUCACAGAAAUAAAAGCUGAGGCUUGCAAGCUGCAUUUUUUGGAAUGUAAAGAGAGCACACAAGGGA